rnacentral:rRNA from 1 species
CUACGGGAGGCACCAGUGGGGAAUAUUGCGCAAUGGGCGAAAGCCUGACGCAGCGACGCCGCGUGGGGGAUGAAGGUCUUCGGAUUGUAAACUCCUGUUAAGUGGGAAGAAAUGUUCAUUCCUAAUACGAAUGAAAGAUGACGGUACCAUUAGAGAAAGCACCGGCUAACCUCGUGCCAGCAGCCGCGGUAAUACGAGGGGUGCAAGCGUUAUUCGGAAUCAUUGGGCGUAAAGGGUGCGUAGACGGCAUAUUAAGUCAACUGUUAAAUUUUCCGGCCUAACCGGAAACCUGCGGUAGAAACUGAUAAGCUAGAGGGUGGAAGAGAGAAGUGGAAUUCUUGGAGUAGCGGUAAAAUGCGUGGAUCUCGAGAGGAACACCGAUGGCGAAGGCAGCUUCUUGGUCCAUACCUGACGUUGAGGCACGAAAGCGUGGGGAGCAAACAGGAUUAGAUACCCGUGUAGUC